rnacentral:rRNA from 1 species
UACGGGGGGAGCAAGCGUUGUUCGGAUUUACUGGGCGUAAAGGGCGCGUAGGCGGUCGUGACAAGUCACUUGUGAAAUCUCCGGGCUUAACUCGGAACGGUCAAGUGAUACUGUCGGACUAGAGUACAGAAGGGGCAACUGGAAUUCUCGGUGUAGCGGUGAAAUGCGUAGAUAUCGAGAGGAACACCUGCGGUGAAGGCGGGUUGCUGGGCUGAUACUGACGCUGAGGCGCGAAAGCCAGGGGAGCAAACAGG